rnacentral:rRNA from 1 species
AUUGAACGCUGGCGGCAGGCCUAACACAUGCAAGUCGAACGGUAACAGAAAGCAGCUUGCUGCUUUGCUGACGAGUGGCGGACGGGUGAGUAAUGUCUGGGAAACUGCCUGAUGGAGGGGGUUAACUACUGGAAACUGUAGCUAAUACCGCAUAACGUCGCAAGACCAAAGAGGGUGACCUUCCGGCCUCUUGCCAUCGGAUGUGCCCAGUUGGGAUUAGCUAGUAGGUGGGGUAACGGCUCACCUAGGCGACGAUCCCUAGCUGGUCUGAGAGGAUGACCAGCCACACUGGAACUGAGACACGGUCCAGACUCCUACGGGAGGCAGCAGUGGGGAAUAUUGCACAAUGGGCGCAAGCCUGAUGCAGCCAUGCCGCGUGUAUGAAGAAGGCCUUCGGGUUGUAAAGUACUUUCAGCGGGGAGGAAGGGAGUAAAGUUAAUACCUUUGCUCAUUGACGUUACCCGCAGAAGAAGCACCGGCUAACUCCGUG